rnacentral:piRNA from 1 species
UACCAUUACUCCACUUAUCUUAAUGCUGAUU